ACGGAGGAUGCGAGCGUUAUCCGGAUUUAUUGGGUUUAAAGGGUGCGUAGGCGGGAUAAUAAGUCAGCGGUGAAAGUUUGAGGCUCAACCUUAAAAUUGCCGUUGAAACUGUUUUUCUUGAGUAUAUUUGAAGUAGGCGGAAUUCGUGGUGUAGCGGUGAAAUGCAUAGAUAUCACGAAGAACUCCAAUUGCGAAGGCAGCUUACUAAACUAUAACUGACGCUGAAGCACGAAAGCGUGGGUAUCAAACAGG
rnacentral:rRNA from 1 species